GAGAUGCUAGUAGAACGCAAUACACUGCCUUGUCAAGGCAGAAUUGCAAGUUAGACUCUUGCGCAUCUUU
rnacentral:tRNA from 1 species